GCCCUCUAGAUUUCUUCCCAGUCAGAUCUAAAGAUUGGUCUGCGUGGCUGGAAAAGGAGGAAGAGUAAAACUGAAGUGGACUUGCAAUCUUUACGGACAUACAAAUUCAUUUUGAACAUAA
rnacentral:snoRNA from 1 species